AUCAUUGUUCGAAGCGAUUAGUUUACUAAGAGCGGAGAUGUUGCUAUCUUAGUGGCGGACGGGUGAGUAACGCGUGGGUAACCUGCCUUACACUGGGGGAUAACACUUAGAAAUAGGUGCUAAUACCGCAUAAGCGCACAGCUUCGCAUGAAGCAGUGUGGAAAACAAAAAGCUAAAGCUUUUGGUGGUAUACGAUGGAUCCGCGUCUGAUUAGCUUGUUGGCGGGGUAAAGGCCCACCAAGGCGACGAUCAGUAGCCGGCCUGAGAGGGUGAACGGCCACAUUGGGACUGAGACACGGCCCAAACUCCUACGGGAGGCAGCAGUGGGGAAUAUUGCACAAUGGGGGAAACCCUGAUGCAGCGACGCCGCGUGAGUGAAGAAGUAUUUCGGUAUGUAAAGCUCUAUCAGCAGGGAAGAAAAUGACGGUACCUGACUAAGAAGCCCCGGCUAACUACGUGCCAGCAGCCGCGGUAAUACGUAGGGGGCAAGCGUUAUCCGGAUUUACUGGGUGUAAAGGGAGCGUAGACGGCAGCGCAAGUCUGGAGUGAAAUCCAUGGCUUAACCAUGGAACUGCUUUGGAAACUGUGCAGCUAGAGUGCAGGAGAGGUAAGCGGAAUUCCUAGUGUAGCGGUGAAAUGCGUAGAUAUUAGGAGGAACACCAGUGGCGAAGGCGGCUUACUGGACUGUAACUGACGU
rnacentral:rRNA from 1 species